rnacentral:tRNA from 17 species
GCGCUCCUAGCUCAGCUGGAUAGAGCAUCGGAUUUCGAUUCCGAGGGUCGGGAGUUCGAAUCUCUCGGAGCGCGCCA